CUCUCUGCGCCAUUGUCGCCACCAUCUGGUUUCCUGUAUGCGCCCACCGCGAGAUCACCAUCGUGAGCUUUGGCUACUCGCUGUAUGCGGGCUGGAUCGGUGCUGUGAUGUGCCUGGUGGGUGGCUGUGUCAUCGUCUGCUGCUCCGGGGAUGCACAGUCGUUUGGAGAAAACCGUUUCUAUUACUCUUCUGGCUCCAGCUCACCAACGCACGCCAAGAGUGCCCAUGUCUAAGAGGGCUGCUCCACUGCCCACCGAGGUGCUGUAAAUGCUGGGCCUGGGCCCUGGGUUUGCUUGCCACAGUGGGGAGAAGCCCACUUCCC
rnacentral:lncRNA from 1 species